UAAGGGAUAUUGCACAAUGGGCGCAAGCCUGAUGCAGCAACGCCGCGUGCAUGAUGAAGGCCUUCGGGUCGUAAAAUGCUUUUCUGGCUGAAGAGGAAGGACAGUAAGCCAGGAAUAAGUGUCGGCUAACUACGUGCCAGCAGCCGCGGUAAAACGUAGGACGCAAGCGUUAUCCGGAGUUACUGGGCGUAAAGCGCGGGCAGGCGGCUCUGCCAGUCUGAUGUGAAAUCUCUCAGCUCAACUGGGAGCAGCCAUUGGAAACUACAGAGCUGGAGUCUAGCAGAGGUAGGCGGAAUUCCGGGUGGAGUGGUGAAAUGCGUAGAGAUCCGGAGGAACACCAGAGGCGAAGGCGGCCUACUGGGCUAGUACUGACGCUGAGCCGCGAAAGCCAGGGGAGCGAACGGG
rnacentral:rRNA from 1 species